rnacentral:rRNA from 1 species
AUUGAACGCUGGCGGCAGGCCUAACACAUGCAAGUCGAGCGAGCGGCGGACGGGUGAGUAAUGUCUGGGAAACUGCCUGAUGGAGGGGGAUAACUACUGGAAACGGUAGCUAAUACCGCAUACCAUCAGAUGUGCCCAGAUGGGAUUAGCUAGGAGGUGGGGUAACGGCUCACCUAGCCGACAAUCCGUAGCUGGUCUGAGAGGAUGACCCGCCACACUGGAAUUGAGACACGGCCCAGACCCCUACGGGAGGCAGCAGUGGGGAAUAUUGCACAAUGGGCGCAAGCCGGAUGCAGCCAUGCCGCGUGUGUGAAGAAGGCCUUCGGGUUGUAAAGCACUUUCAGCGGGGAGGCGUUACCAACAGAAUAAGCACCGGCUAACUUCGUGCCAGCAGCCGCGGUAAUAC